UGUAUAAGCUAAAUCAGGAACAUUCCCUUUAUAAAGAAGCCCUCCCCUUCCCCUUCUCCUCCUCUCUGUGUUUCUAUCACUCCAUCUUUCUCUCCCUUCCUUGUCAUCUCUUCUUCUCUAUGUCUGGUCUUCAGCUUCAGCUAUAGGGUUUUGUGGGGAAUGUUGGCUGGCUCGAGGCUUUCAUACAAAGCUCCCGAGAGACGAACAGUACUCGCUUGCUGUAUAGCUUCGGACCAGGCUUCAUUCCCCUCAAAUAGCACCAUUUUUAGACAUAUACACACAUGGAGGAAUAUUAUGGGCUUUCAUGGAUAUGUAGAAUGCUUCUCUGGAAUUGUUGCCUUUUGUUGAUGGAUUUCUCUUCGCGAUAUUUUUUGAUUGUCGAGGCUCAUUUGACUCGGUGAUAAGAUGAUCGAAUUCAUGCCACAACCCUGAAAAGCUUGCUGGUUUUCUUUUGAAAGAAUUCCUGAUAUGUAAAGAGUAUUCUUGUUAGUUAAUUACCAAAACAUGAGAUUGUGAUUGUCCUUCACAGAGCAUUAUUAAUUUCUUUUACCAUCAGGUUUCUUUUCCCCUAUAUAUAUAUAUAUAUAUAGCAGUAGCUAUGAUUUAUAUAGCUAGGGCUGUACAUAUAGCUUUCAUCACUUGAUCAUCUUUUCGUUUCACUUCUGACUAAUUUGAUGGCAAGGGGUACGACCAGUUAAACCCAGCUAUAGCUACACUUGAGAAGUAAAAUUCUUUGACUGAAAGCCUACACUAGGAUUAGGCCAUUCUAGCAAUUUUUUCCCUGACUUAACCAAAAAUAAAAAAAAUAAAAGAAGGAAAAAGAAAUCUUUUUCCGUCGUAUUACCUUUUCAUCAGCUACCUGCAAAACCCUAAUUUGUUUGGUGGAUAAAAACUCUUUCCUCAGCUCUCACUCUUAUAAAGCUUAAAAGGAAGUUGAUCUGUCUUAUUUUCCAUAUAAUUAAUUAUUACUUUAUCAUAUAUUCACUAUUCUUUUUAAUUUUUACUAAUUACGAAGAAGACCUAUAAGUCUAAUAUAAGGAAAUAGCCAACCUAUAGUCGUUCUUUCAUGAGAAUCAAACCUUAAACCUCUAGAUUAUCACACACCUAUUUCUCUAUAUAUUAAGUAAUUAACCACUCAAGUUUUCUUCUGUAUAUGAUGAUGAAGCAGGAGAAAGACUAGAGAGAUAGUGUUUUUCCUGGAAGGUGGGGAAAUCGAAGAGUAUCAAGGAGAGACGAGAAUCGGAAAUGAUCGAGUCACUCUUCUGUUGCUAGCAUUAGCUUGGCUCUAGUCUGUAAACACCACAAUAAGCAUAUAUUCUAAAUUCCUAAUUGCCAAAAGAUUGUAAAUGAAACAUGUAGAUUUUCCUAAUUAAUAAUUCAAAUGCAGAUCGUGUGAUUCUGUGUUUUCUUUAUAUUUUG